rfam:Asian citrus Psyllid, Diaphorina citri - Florida Strain, whole genome shotgun sequence.
GCCAGCGAAGAUAGCACAUUGCACCAGUACUCAGUGGAUCACUGAAGUUAGACAACGUUGCGCGUGGUUGGUGACCGGAUGGGUGACCAUAUGGCCACUCGCGUCUCGCGUGCU